rnacentral:rRNA from 1 species
AUGAACGCUAGCUACAGGCUUAACACAUGCAAGUCGAGGGGCAGCAUGGUCUUAGCUUGCUAAGGCCGAUGGCGACCGGCGCACGGGUGAGUAACACGUAUCCAACCUGCCGUCUACUCUUGGACAGCCUUCUGAAAGGAAGAUUAAUACAAGAUGGCAUCAUGAGUCCGCAUGUUCACAUGAUUAAAGGUAUUCCGGUAGACGAUGGGGAUGCGUUCCAUUAGAUAGUAGGCGGGGUAACGGCCCACCUAGUCUUCGAUGGAUAGGGGUUCUGAGAGGAAGGUCCCCCACAUUGGAACUGAGACACGGUCCAAACUCCUACGGGAGGCAGCAGUGAGGAAUAUUGGUCAAUGGGCGAGAGCCUGAACCAGCCAAGUAGCGUGAAGGAUGACUGCCCUAUGGGUUGUAAACUUCUUUUAUAAAGGAAUAAAGUCGGGUAUGCAUACCCGUUUGCAUGUACUUUAUGAAUAAGGAUCGGCUAACUCCGUGCCAGCAGCCGCGGUAAUACGGAGGAUCCGAGCGUUAUCCGGAUUUAUUGGGUUUAAAGGGAGCGUAGAUGGAUGUUUAAGUCAGUUGUGAAAGUUUGCGGCUCAACCGUAAAAUUGCAGUUGAUACUGGAUAUCUUGAGUGCAGUUGAGGCAGGCGGAAUUCGUGGUGUAGCGGUGAAAUGCUUAGAUAUCACGAAGAACCCCGAUUGCGAAGGCAGCCUGCUAAGCUGCAACUGACAUUGAGGCUCGAAAGUGUGGGUAUCAAACAGGAUUAGAUACCCUGGUAGUCCACACGGUAAACGAUGAAUACUCGCUGUUUGCGAUAUACAGCAAGCGGCCAAGCGAAAGCGUUAAGUAUUCCACCUGGGGAGUACGCCGGCAACGGUGAAACUCAAAGGAAUUGACGGGGGCCCGCACAAGCGGAGGAACAUGUGGUUUAAUUCGAUGAUACGCGAGGAACCUUACCCGGGCUUAAAUUGCAGAUGAAUUACGGUGAAAGCCGUAAGCCGCAAGGCAUCUGUGAAGGUGCUGCAUGGUUGUCGUCAGCUCGUGCCGUGAGGUGUCGGCUUAAGUGCCAUAACGAGCGCAACCCUUGUUGUCAGUUACUAACAGGUCAUGCUGAGGACUCUGACAAGACUGCCAUCGUAAGAUGUGAGGAAGGUGGGGAUGACGUCAAAUCAGCACGGCCCUUACGUCCGGGGCUACACACGUGUUACAAUGGGGGGUACAGAGGGCCGCUACCACGCGAGUGGAUGCCAAUCCCAAAAACCUCUCUCAGUUCGGACUGGAGUCUGCAACCCGACUCCACGAAGCUGGAUUCGCUAGUAAUCGCGCAUCAGCCACGGCGCGGUGAAUACGUUCCCGGGCCUUGUACACACCGCCCGUCAAGCCAUGGGAGCCGGGGGUACCUGAAGUGCGUAACCGCGAGGAGCGCCCUAGGGUAAAACUGGUGACUGGGGCU